ACCUACGGGGGGCAGCAGUAGGGAAUCUUCCACAAUGGGCGAAAGCCUGAUGGAGCAACGCCGCGUGGGUGAAGAAGGUCUUCGGAUCGUAAAACCCUGUUGUUAGAGAAGAAAGUGCGUGAGAGUAACUGUUCACAUUUCGACGGUAUCUAACCAGAAAGCCACGGCUAACUACGUGCCAGCAGCCGCGGUAAUACGUAGGUGGCAAGCGUUAUCCGGAUUUAUUGGGCGUAAAGGGAACGCAGGCGGUCUUUUAAGUCUGAUGUGACAGCCUUCGGCUUAACCUGAGUAGUGCAUUGGAAACU
rnacentral:rRNA from 1 species